rnacentral:rRNA from 1 species
GCCGGUCCGGGCCGCCUACACAUGCAAGUCGAACGAAGUAGCAAUACUUAGUGGCAGACGGGUGAGUAACAUGUAGGUAUCUACCCUUUGGCCUGGAAUAACACGAGGAAACUUGUGCUAAUACUGGAUAAGUCUUUACGGAGAAAGCUUUAUGCACCAUUGGAUGAGCCUGCACUUGAUUAGUUUGUUGGUGGGGUAAUGGCCUACCAAGACUGUGAUCAAUAGCUGAUUUGAGAGGAUGAUCAGCCACAUUGGGACUGAGACACGGCCCAAACUCCUACGGGAGGCAGCAGUGGGGAAUCUUGCACAAUGGAGGAAACUCUGAUGCAGCGAUGCCGCGUGAGUGAAGAAGGCCCUUGGGUUGUAAAGCUCUUUCGUCGGGGAAGAAAAUGACUGUACCCGAAUAAGAAGGUCCGGCUAACUUCGUGCCAGCAGCCGCGGUAAUACGAAGGGACCUAGCGUAGUUCGGAAUUACUGGGCUUAAAGAGUUCGUAGGUGGUUGAAAAAGUUGGUGGUGAAAUCCCAGAGCUUAACUCUGGAACUGCCAUCAAAACUUUUCAGCUAGAGUAUGAUAGAGGAAAGCAGAAUUUCUAGUGUAGAGGUGAAAUUCGUAGAUAUUAGAAAGAAUACCAAUUGCGAAGGCAGCUUUCUGGAUCAUUACUGACACUGAGGAACGAAAGCAUGGGUAGCGAAGAGAAUUAGAUACCCUCGUAGUCCAUGCCGUAAACGAUGUGUGUUAGACGUUGGAAAUUU